rnacentral:lncRNA from 1 species
UUUUUUUUUUUUUUUUUUUUUGGUGUGUGUGUGUGUCUUUUUGGGGCUGCACCUCUGGCAUAUGGAAGUUCCUAGGCUAGGGGGUUGAACUGGAGCUACAGCUGCCGGCCACAGCCACAGCAACGCAGGAUCCCAGCCACGUCUAUGACCUAGACUGCAGGGAUCCUUAACCCACUGGGUAGGGCCAGGGAUUGAACUCCUGUCCUCGUGGAUAUUAGUCGGGUUUGUUACCACUGAGCCAUGAAGGGCACUCCAUGACAGACUGCUUUUUGAAGCAGUUGUACCAUUUUACAUUCACAUUAGCAGUAUAACAGUCCCAGUUUCUCCCCAUCUUUGCCAAAGCUUCAUCUUUUUGGCUCUAGACAUCCUAAUGGGUAUAAAGUGGUAUCUCACUAGGGUUUUUAUUUGCAUUUCCCUGAUGACUAAGGAUGUCAAGCAUUUUUUCAUGUGUUAAUUGGACAAUUUUGUCUUCUUUGGAUAAAUAUCUACUCAAAUCCUUUGCUCAUUUUAAAAUUGGGUAACGUGUCUUUUUAUGACGGAGUUAUAAGAGUACAUAUUCUAGAUACCAAUCCUUUAUUGGUUAUCUAAUUUGUAAAUAUUUUCUUCCAUUUUGUGGGUUGUCUUUGUACUUUUUCGACGGUGUCCUUUGGAGCACAAACUUUUUAAUUUUGAUGAAGUCCAAUUUAUCUUUUUUUUUCCCCCUUUUCUUCUGUUGUUUAUGUUUUUGGUGUCUUAUCUAAUAAUCCUUAGACAAAUCCAAAGUUAUGAAGCCUUUACCCCUAUGUGUUACACUAAGAGCCUUAUGGUUUUACUUACUACUUUUAGGUCUUUGAUCUAUUUUUGGUUGUUUUUGUAUAUGGUGUGAGGUAAGGACUGAACUCAUUCUUCUGCAGGCGGCUAUCUAGUCAUCCCAGCAUGAUUGUUGAAAAAACUAUUCUUUUCCCACUGGAUGGUUUUUUCACCCUUGUUAAAACUCAGUUUACCACAGAUGUAUGGGUUUAUUUCUGGACUUUUAAUUCUACUCCACUGGCAUCUAUGUCUAUUUUUGUGUCAUUACCACAUUGUUUUAUUUCAUUUUUAGGGCUGCACCUGUGGCAUAUGGAAGUUCCCAGGCUAGGGGUCUAAUCAGAGCUACAACUGUCAGUUUAUGCCACCGCCACAGCCACGGCAUCUGAGCCACAUCUGCGACCUACACCACAGCUCAUGGCAAUGCAGGUUAAAGGAUCUGGAGUGUCACUGCUUUGGCUCUGGUUGCUGCUGUGAUGCAGGUUCAGUCCCUGGUCCUGGAACUUCCACAUGCCAUGGGUACAGCUAAAAAAAAUUAAUUAAAAAUAAAUAAAUAAAAAAGCAGCAGUCCAUAUUUGACCCGCCCUAACAUGAUCAAGCCAAACCAUCCACAAACCAGACCUAGUUUUUUUCCUCCUAUGUCAAAUGGUUGAAGGAAUUCUAUGUUGCCAUAGGUAUGAGGUAAGAGAAAGGUAUUACUGGUGCAAGAGAUGUGGGUAAUAUGGAGGUCUGGGGCACUUUGUUCAAUUUAACUUACUUGUGGCCACCAGGUUUGCUUGGGCUUCUUGCAAACUGUACAAUAUCCACUGUAAUAUAUAUAGCUAUUGCAUCUACCCAAUCUGAUGACUUUGCAUGUCUGACAGUAAUAGGCUGGUUGUAUCGGCAACUGGUCACAUAGUCACUUGCUAUGUUGUGGUCAGGCACUGAAUCUCCAGCAAAGCAAAGGAGAUGCUUUGCAAAUGGUGAAACUUUGUCUGCUAUAGGUAGCAUUGUCUUACUCCAGAACCUUAGAGGUCUGUGCUGGAAUUUUCCUACUGUAGAUUGCUACAGAAUCCACACACCUUUCCCUACCACAAACACCUCUAGUAUCAUGUUAUUCUCCAGGUGAUAUAGCCCAAGCAACAGGACUGGCAGUAUCACAGCCUAGACUUGCUGUAGAGGCCUUUCCCGCAUUCCUAAGUUCAUAAUAUGCUGCUUCCAAAACUGGAAGAGGCUUACCAACUCACUGCUUCUUUCUUGGGGUAAAGAUAAAGUAACUUAGCUUUACUCUAGAGAGGAUGUCCCAGAAUGCUCCAGACCACUGAACACCUACCUAAUAACCAACAUGGCAGGGCCCUGCAUCUUUUGAAGAAUUAAUCUUCAAAAGUGUAUGUGUCUCACCAAGGAAUCCUGAAUAUCUGAACUGCUUGUUCAUCAGAUCUGAUUAGCCUAUCCCUAAUACCUGAAGAGCACAAGCUUAAUAAAGCAAACAAAUGUGAUAUUCUGCAGAAUGUCCAGGUCCUUUUGGACUAUACUGUGACAGAAAAGGGGAGAAUUAAAGUAGCUCUAGAUCUAGACUGUGAAUAUAUAUUGUUGCCCAUCAUUUCUGACUAUAAACUACUUCUGAAACUUCUUCUGAUUGGUAUAUAGAAAGAACAUAUUUACUAGAUCUGGGGUCAGCAAACUUUCUAUAAAAGGUAAGUACUACAUGUUAAUAGCCACAUACUUACAUCAGAGGCUGUGCUUCGCUCUCCAGUAAGUACAUCCGACACAGGACACCGAGAUUACUACUUGCUUAAGUUUGCAGCAGUCCACUGGAAUCCACCACAGCCCAUCCGAUGUUUGCAAGGGCCAGAAAGGUGAAACUAAUUGCUGCCAUCUUCCCCAAACUGCGGUAUUAUUACUUUUUAUUUACCAUCUUGGCAGAGGUGGGGUGCAGUAUCAGUGGCUUCUAUUUGGCUUUUCUGUCAACUCCCAAAUACGCCCAUUCUGAUUUUGUAUUUGGACACUGGAAAAAUGACCAUAAAGUGAUUUUUAAAAAAAUUUACUGGAGUUCCCAUCGUGGCGCAGUGGUUAUCGAAUCCGACUAGGAACCAUGAGACAGACUUUGGGUAGCAUGCAUUUAUUGUCUGACCCC